GACGAACGCUAGCGGCGUGCUUAACACAUUCAAGUCGAACGACGUGGCGAACGGGUGAGUAACGCGUAAUCAACCUGCCCUUCAGAGGGGGACAACAGUUGGAAACGACUGCUAAUACCGCAUACCGACGGAGGGGAUUCCGUCUGAUUAGCUAGUUGGAGGGGUAACGCCCCACCACGGCGAGUAUCAGUAGCCGGUCUGAUAGGAUUAACGGCAAGAGUGGGACGGAGACACGGCCCAGACUCCUACGGGAGGAAGCAGUGGGGAAUCGUCCGCAAUGGACGAAAGUCUGACGGAGCAACGCGGCGUGAGUGAUGACGGCCUUCGGGUUGUAAAGCUCUGUUAAUCGGGACGCGGUACCGGAAUAGAAAGCCACGGCUAACUACGUGCCAGCAGCCGCGGUAAUAC
rnacentral:rRNA from 1 species